rnacentral:rRNA from 1 species
AUGAACGCUGGCGGCGUGCCUAAUCCCUGCAAGUCGCGCGCACAGACGAGGAGCUUGCUCCUCUGACGUUAGCGGCGGACGGGUGAGUAACACGUGGAUAACCUACCUAUAAGACUGGGAUAACUUCGGGAAACCGGAGCUAAUACCGGAUAAUAUAUUGAACCGCAUGGUUCAAUAGUGAAAGACGGUUUUGCUGUCACUUAUAGAUGGAUCCGCGCCGCAUUAGCUAGUUGGUAAGGUAACGGCUUACCAAGGCGACGAUGCGUAGCCGACCUGAGAGGGUGAUCGGCCACACUGGAACUGAGACACGGUCCAGACUCCUACGGGAGGCAGCAGUAGGGAAUCUUCCGCAAUGGGCGAAAGCCUGACGGAGCAACGCCGCGUGAGUGAUGAAGGUCUUCGGAUCGUAAAACGCUGUUAUUAGGGAAGAACAAAUGUGUAAGUAACUAUGCACGUCUUGACGGUACCUAAUCAGAAAGCCACGGCUAACUACGU